CUCCAGGGAUACCCUGUGGCGGUCCCAGCUCCGCAUGCCUGCCAUCGCCUGCAGCACACACCUCUGAGUUCCGUUUGGGAGACCCCAGAGGACGCCCAGUGCCCACAACUGCAUGGACCCGAUGUGCUGAGCUGGCUCCGGAAAGAAGUCUCUCCCGCCGGCAUGCUGCUCACCGAUCGCUGCCUCCUGCCCCACACUGUUCCUACAAAGGCACCAGGAUUCUGACCCUCAGCUGGCUUCGCCCUGACUGGACACGCUGUGACCUGGCCACCCCUCCAGGAAGACUCCAGGAGGCUUCAGCUCUGGCCUCAGGGGGCCCUGUGGGCACCUCAGGAAGGACCACAAGCACUGUCACCAAGGGCUAGGAUAUGUCACAGAACAGUCCAGAACACUGGAGGUGACAACUUAGGGUGAAACUCAAUGCAACACUGAUGCAGGGAUCAGAGGCCUCCACGGAGUCUGAGCCAACAGCCACAGACCAGGAGCCAUGAGAAUGAGGCCCCUGUGCUGGACAGGAAGUGGCCAAGUAUCCAUGUGUCCUGUGAAGAUACUCAGGAAUGCCUAAGGCCAACUCCAUAAGUAACACCCUCAGGUCAAGUCCAGAGUCUCUGGGCACAAGGAGCCCUUGGGAAUUGGCUCAGCUGCAUCACACAGCACCCACAAGGGCCCUCUUGUACAACUCCACCUCACCCCCACGGGGAGAUGUUCAGGCCAAGCAGAGGAUGUUAAUGCCUUCAGGGUCUUGGGGGUCCCUCCAGGCAGCCCAACCUGUCUAGCAGAUGCCCAGAUCCCAGUCUGAGAAUGAUACUAAGAAACCUCUCACCAGCAGAAAAAACACACUGUUUCUUUUUCCUCUCAAGUGAUCCUCCCACCUCAGCCUCUAAAGUAGCUGGGACUACAGGUGCACACAACCGUACCCAGCUUUGAAACAAAUGUUUUGAAUGUGAUUUAUUUAUUUUUUUCCUUUUUUUUUUCCAAGACAGAGUCUCACUCUGUCACCUGGGAUGGAAUGGAGUGGCGCGAUCUCCACUCACUGCAACCUCCGCCUCCUGGGUUCAAGCGAUUCUCCUGCCUCAGCCUCCCAAGUAGCUGGGAUUGCAGGAGUGCACCACUACACCCAGCUAACUUUUGUAUUUUCAGUAGAGAUAGGGUUUCACCAUAUUGGCCAGGCUGGUCUUGAACUCCUGACCUCAAAUGAUCUGCCCACCUCGGCCUCCCAAAGUGCUGGGAUUACAGGCGUGAGCCACCGCGUCCAGCCUUUGAAUGUGAUUUUAAUUUAGGUUUUUAAAUUCCUCAAAUCUUUUUUUUUUUUUGGAGACAGGGUCUCACUCUGUUGCCUACAGAGCAGUGGUGUGAUCAUAGCUCACUGCAGCCUCUGACUCCUGAGCUCAAGUGAUCCUCCCUUCUCAGCCUCCCGAGUGGCUGGUACCACAGAUGUCCAUCAUUACACCUGGCUAAUUUUUUGUAAAGAUGGGGUCUUGCCAUGUCGCCCAGGCUGGUCUCAAACUCCUGGGCUCAAGCACUCUGCCCAUCUCAACCUACCAAAGCGCUGAGAUUACAGGUAAGUUCCCAAAUCUUGAUAGGAAGUAAAGUAGGUGCCAAGAAGUGAAUCUUGCCACACUGUGUUUUGGUAGAGUGAAACUCACAUAAAACUGCUGCGAAAAGAAUCAACUCCAUAAAACUCUACAAGUCUUUCAAUCCAAACAGUUUUUAAGGGGUGCUAGCUCACUCCCAAUUCUUACUCUAUGUUCUAAAUAUGGUCUCCCAUUAAUACUAAUCCCCCUACCCACCACAAGGAUCCCCUGGUGAAGCUCAGAGCCAGGUCUCAGGAACAAGAGGGAAGGGGUGUGACCCCCAAAGCCAUCAGGAAGCACACCAAGGCAGGAAGGUGGGAGGAAACGGGCCCAGGCCACCAACCUUGUAGAGAUGAUCCUUCUUGCAGAGCUCCACGCUCUGGGCCCACCAGUUAUUGCCCUUGUACAGAUAGGCCGCAAUGCACCUGAACUCCAUCAGCUGAUGCUUCUCCAGCUGCUGAGCCAGGCUGAUGUUGUCAAAGUUGUCAUAGGCAUCGAUAGAUGCCCUUAAGCCCUAGGAAGACAGCCUUUCUGUGAGGGAUGGGACACUGACAUGGGCUGCCUACACAUGGAGCAGGCACCUUGUGUUACUUGAUGGCUGUUGCUAUCAGCACAGCCUUAGAAAGGCCCCUGCCCAUAUAUCCACUGGUGUCCUGUGGGGCCUGCACACCCUCCUGUGCAAAGGCAGCCUGCUUUGAGAACAGAAUGGCAGUUGCAGGGGAGGAGCCCAGCCCACCCAGGACAGGGCUCCCUCCUGCACACCCACCUGGUAGUCCUCCUCCUCUGUCAGCAGGUGGUUGAGUGCCUCAUUCACACUCUUGUUGUUGUGGCUCUGGACUGACCGCAGGUAAGGCUUCACCAGGGGCAGCUGACCUGCCUGACAAGUUGAGGGAACCGUCAAGGCACUUGGCCAAGCUUGUUAUGGGGACACUAGGCAGGGGCACAGGUGGGCACGUGCGUGCCAUCCACUUGAAUGGUCCAGCUCUGGAGCCAAGGGCACCUUCUGGACACCUAGAGCCAAAAGACCUACACUCACACAAAGAGGACUGUCUGGGCGAUUCAGCGGAUGCCAAUGUCACCACAGACAUUCACACCUUAGAGACACAUGGGUUUGGGUCCAGACCACCACAAUAAAGUGAACAUUGCAAUAAAGUGAGUCAUAUUAAUUCAUGUUUACACUAUGUUGUAGCCUGUUAAGUGUGUUAACAGCAUUAUGUCUACAAAAACACAGUACACACCUUAAUUAAAAAUAUUUUAGUGCUAAAGAAUGCUAACAAUCA